UAUUUGUACUUGAAAGAAAAAUCUAGAAGCUAUGAUACCACUACAAGAAAAUGCUAAAACAACGACGGCUUAAUAGCGACGGUCAAAUACACCGUCGUUCUUACAAAAACAGCAUCCGCUGUAAGCCGUCGGUGAGCACCGACUGCUUGUAAAGGAUAUAACGACAGUUUGACAGUCGUUGAAAAACAACGACAGUUUCAAGCCGGCGUUAAGUUGAUUAAUGUGCCUCUCAAAUUUCGUUUACCUAUGGCGACGGUCUUAAACGGUCGGUGAUGGAAGGAAAAAGGGGGUUAACAUAAAGUGGCCCUUUUCAGUCGGUUUAUUUUAGCGCAACUUUAGAGAGAGAAGUUGCCUCUUUCAGUCGGCGAAUGGAAGAAGGCAAGAAGCCAUUGACGGUCGACCUCAUUUUCUCUCCGCCUCUUUGCCGCCGCGACAUUGCAGGCUGAAGCAGUCACAACUCCCUCCUUUAUCCUGUUCUUCACUGUGAUCUAUUCUAGGUAUUAUCUGCCAUUACUAGCAAGUUAAGUUUUGCUGUCUUGCAUUGAAGCUUUAAUUCUGAUUUUGCUAACUUUUGCUCCGAAAUUAGUUGAGAAUUUUUCGUAGUUUUUCAAAUUUCUUCCGAUGCUUGUUUAUAUUUGCGUUAUACUUUUUGCGAGAUGAAUUCAGCAAGUACCUUCAUUUGAUAGUAAAUACUUCGUUGUUUUCAUAAAUUAUCGAUUUUCUUCGUGCUAGGGUUUUUUGUUAGCAUAUUUUGAUGCAACAUUUUGUAAUCUAUGUUUAAUUUGGCUUGAAUUAGAAAUUAUCUAAGUGUGAAUAAUUGCUGAUUUUCCUCUCUUUUUGUUGAAUUUCUGAUUGAUAUUGUUACUUGUUAGUUUAUGCUAGGGAUAUUAGUACUUUCUUCCCAGUUUCUUUGUUGAUGAGAGAACAAUUCACAAAUAUCAAAAUCUGCAAUUUCUCUCUCUCUUUCUUGAUAAAGAUACUACACAAGCAUUUCAAUAUAUCCUCUGAGAUUUUGUUUGGUUCGCUGUCUCCUCCCAAUUCCUUGUUCACAGGCUGAAAGACAGAAGAUGUUAGAAUUAUGAGAUACUCCCUCUGUUUCACCAUAAGCUUAACACUUACUAAAACUGAAUGUUUCACAAUAACCUUAACGCUUGCAUUUUUACACUAUUUGGGUUUGUUUUCCCUCUUUCUCACUACUCUUACACAAGUCCCUUCUUCUUUCUCUCUCUCUCGUUUUCUUAGUGUCAAGGAAAAUGUUAAUUUCAUUGUGAAACAAUAGUUAUAGAUUUUAUUGGAAUUGAAAUGCUUGAAACCAAAUUAAGAUAAAGCUAAUGCUUUUCACCAAGCUCCUACCCAAAUUUCUUCCUUUUUUCAGGUCUUUCUUCUUACUUUUUUUUUUGGGUGGGGGUGCGGGAGAGGGGAUUGAUUACAUGUGGUUAGCUAUAUUUUCAAGUAGGCUGUUGGACAGUAGAUAUGAGAAGCAUAUACUUGCCUGAUAUGCACAACAAAUGAGGUACAAAUGAGGUGUAUGAGGUGCAAGGUUAAGUGGGUUGUUUGAUACACAUCAUAAUAUGAAACUGAAGAAAGCAUAAGACCAAUUAAACCUUGAAAUUUUUACUAUUAAUAUGCACAACAAUGUUGCGAGGCAUUGUUGUUUAUUAAGGUGGAAAAAAUACUCCUUAUGCUUUUUAUGUAGAUAAGAGAUCGCUUGAUAUACGACAAUUCAACUAGAUACUGGAUAAUAAAUGAUAUUCUCAUUCUAAUCCAUCAUAUCUUGCUCUAGGGGUAUGCCAGCCCCUGUAACCAAUUGUCUUUGUGAGAUUUGUAGCUAUAUGAUAAAAUAUCUAUGUAAUCUCAAUGCUUGUCUUCUAGUGAGUCAGGUUAAUUGUAUUUGAUGCAAUCCAAUGUGUUUGGCAGGCAUAUGGGUAAUCUUAAGGAAUAAUGAAAUGCUAACCUGGCCAGAGAAAAUCAAAUUUGCUAUUGGCCUCUUGCCUGCUAUGGUUGGUGGACAGUCAUAUGUUGAGGCACAAGAUGGUUUGAGUGUCCAAGAGUGGAUGAGGAAGCAAGUAGGAAAAUUCAUUCAUUUCAAACCGUCUACUGAUAAUUGUUUCUGAUUCUGUUGAUUAUUGGUGUACUUGAUCGUGUAACUGAUGAAGUAUCCAUUGCCAUGUCAAAGGCACUAAACUUCAUAAAUCCAGAUGAACUUUCAAUGCAGUGCAUCUUGAUUGCUCUGAACCGAUUUCUGCAGCUUGAGGCGCAUAUGGAGGCAAAGGUCGCUGCACAGAUGGAAGAGGUGGAGGCAAGGAACUCGACUACUACUUUAUUUCCCGACACCGGGAUCUAUUUUGCGUACAUAUAUUUAAUCUAGGUAGUUUGUCUAACUAUAGACAUUUAGUGUCUAUAUAUUAUCGGCGUCUAACUUAUUUAAUUAGUUUCUAGAUUUGCCGAUAUAUAUUUUUGUAGAACCCGACUUCUACUUUAUUUCCCGACAUCGGGAUUUAUUUUGUAUACAUAAGUUUAAUCUAUUUCAUGUAAUUAUAUAAGUAUCUACGUAAAUUAUAAUAUAUAUCAAAAUUGCAUA